AGGACGAACGCUGGCGGCGUGCCUAACACAUGCAAGUCGAGCGGGACAUUGCGACGGAGACGAAGUACUCGUACGGAGUCAAAGAUGUAAUGUCUAGCGGCGGACGGGUGAGUAACGCGUGAGCAACCUGUCCCUUACAGGGGGAUAACACAGCGAAAGUUGUACUAAUACCGCAUAAGACCACAGGAUGACAUCGUCCAGGGGUCAAAGGAGCAAUCCGGUAAGGGGUGGGCUCGCGUCCGAUUAGAUAGUUGGUGAGGUAACGGCCCACCAAGUCGACGAUCGGUAGCCGACCUGAGAGGGUGAUCGGCUACAUUGGGACUGAGACACGGCCCAAACUCCUACGGGAGGCAGCAGUGGGGAAUAUUGGGCAAUGGGGGGAAACCCUGACCCAGCAACGCCGCGUGAGGGAAGAAGGUUUUCGGAUCGUAAACCUCUGUCCCAGGUGAAGAGGAAGAGACGGUAGCCUGGGAGGAAGCCCCGGCUAACUACGUGCCAGCCGCCGC
rnacentral:rRNA from 1 species